CAAGGAGUUCUGGCAAAGCAUGUUGAAGUCUGAGAGUCAAACUCUGCAUGCUUUCUUAACAGCUACAGGAAUUAUACCAUCAUGGUUGGCUCUGCUUCACUUGGCAUUGAGAAGGAAGUGCCUGUGGUGCUUUCUAGCAGCAACAUUGCCAGCCAGAUGCAGAACCAGUUUCAUUUCACUGGCAGUACCACAUGUUUCAGUCUUUGUGAAGAGGAUUCUUCUCUAGGAGGAUGUUCCACAGACUUAAAGGCAUGAUGUGGUCUGUUUUGAUGUGCACAGAAGGUCUUCUGACCAGUGGACUUAAAUCAUUAUUCAUUUUCUGAGUGUAGACCUGCACGUGCUGUGACAGAUUACUGAACAAGGCAUUGUGACUCAACCACCUCCCUGGGGAGCCUAUUCCAGAGCUUAACAACCCUUUCUGUAAAGAAGUGCUUCCUAACAUCCAACCUAAACUUACCCUGGUGCAACUUGAUGUCAUUUCCCCUCGUCUUGUCACCUGUCACCAGUGAGAAGAGACCAAUCCGCUCUGGCUUCAACUGCAGCAGCUUUUCACCAUAGCCCUGCAUCUCAUGGAACCUUUGAACUGCUGCUAAAACAUCAUAAAGUGUAUAAGAGCCACCAGAUGCUAAACAUUUAUACUUAAGGCUGAUGCUUUUUACUUCCUUUAGCUAUUGAAUACAUCCUCUUCCCUCCUAGACACUAUCAAUGGCAGUACAAGCCCAAGUGAAGUAGUUGCAUGGGACCUUGCAAAACUGGAACCUCCUAUAACUUCUGCCUAAUUCCCUGCAUAAUUUCUUUCUACUCAUCUAUUAUUGCUGAUAUGCCAACACUACUCCAGUCUUUCACUGGAACCACCUAGCACUUCAUCCAAAGCCCUCCUACACUUUAUUUUUCUAAAAAAUUUUCAAUGAAAAGAGAAAUUCUUUUGCACCUAUAUUUUCUUUAAGAAAUCUGGAAGAAUGACAAUACAUACGUAGGUGAACAGAAAAAUGAGGACCCAGAGAAAAAAACUGUAACCAUUUUAAUUCACCAGUGCACUUUGAAAGCUGCAGUAUCUGACUGGUAAUUAGAAAAGAUGAUGGACCAUUCUUCAACAGUCUUGGCAUGAUUUGCAGGUGAAAAAUUUUAGAAAAAAUAUUUCUGAAUAUCACUUCUCAUCUCCAAAAAAUGUAACCUUGAUUUUAUAAAUUGAAUCCAAUUUAAAAACCAAGUUUUGCAUAAAUGACAUGUGAUGAAACGUCCAAAUUCCUUCCAGAGACAGAAACAGCCCACUUCCCCAGCUGGUAAAAGGAUCACAGUUUCUCACUCAAAAGGGAAGGAUUUUAUGUUAGCUGAUUCACCUAUAUCAAAAUAUCAGAAUGCUAAAUACAAAAAAAUACUACUACCAAAUAAACAGUGGAAGUAUAGAACAUGCAGAAAGCCAUGAGAUGAAAACUUUUUGAAGUACUCCCCAUAGAGAACCAAAAAGGGAGAAGGUUUCUGCAGUGUAGAUCAGACACAUGCCCAGCUGCUCAUAAUUCACACUUUUGGGUGGCAUUAUGCACCUAAGGAGUUACGAGUUACCAUAUGACAUGUCAUCUGAUUGAUGAGUAAUACCCCUUAUAU
ensembl:lncRNA